rnacentral:rRNA from 1 species
GACGAACGCUGGCGGUGUGCUUCACACAUGCAAGUCGAACGAGGUAGCAAUACCUAGUGGCGGACGGGUGAGUAACGCGUGGGAAUCUGCCUUUAGAUGGGGGAUAACGGGUCGAAAGACUCGCUAAUACCGCAUAUGACGAAAGUUGAAAGGAGUAAUCCGUCUAAAGAUGAGCCCGCGUCCGAUUAGCUAGUUGGUAGAGUAAAAGCCUACCAAGGCGACGAUCGGUAGCUGGUCUGAGAGGAUGAUCAGCCACAAUGGGACU